UAACGACGAUAUGCUUUGGGGAGCUGUAAGUAAGCUUUGAUCCAGAGAUUUCCGAAUGGGGAAACCCAGCAUGAGUUAUGUCAUGUUAUCGAUAUGUGAAUACAUAGCAUAUCAGAAGGCACACCCGGAGAACUGAAACAUCUUAGUACCCGGAGGAAGAGAAAGAAAAUUCGAUUCCCUUAGUAGCGGCGAGCGAAACGGGAAGAGCCCAAACCAACAAGCUUGCUUGUUGGGGUUGUAGGACACUCUAUACGGAGUUACAAAGGACGACAUUAGACGAAUCAUCUGGAAAGAUGAAUCAAAGAAGGUAAUAAUCCUGUAGUCGAAAAUGUUGUCUCUCUUGAGUGGAUCCUGAGUACGACGGAGCACGUGAAAUUCCGUCGGAAUCUGGGAGGACCAUCUCCUAAGGCUAAAUACUCUCUAGUGACCGAUAGUGAACCAGUACCGUGAGGGAAAGGUGAAAAGCACCCCGGAAGGGGAGUGAAAUAGAACCUGAAACCGUGUGCUUACAAGUAGUCAGAGCCCGUUAAUGGGUGAUGGCGUGCCUUUUGUAGAAUGAACCGGCGAGUUACGAUUUGAUGCAAGGUUAAGCAGUAAAUGUGGAGCCGUAGCGAAAGCGAGUCUGAAUAGGGCGUUUAGUAUUUGGUCGUAGACCCGAAACCAGGUGAUCUACCCUUGGUCAGGUUGAAGUUCAGGUAACACUGAAUGGAGGACCGAACCGACUUACGUUGAAAAGUGAGCGGAUGAACUGAGGGUAGCGGAGAAAUUCCAAUCGAACCUGGAGAUAGCUGGUUCUCUCCGAAAUAGCUUUAGGGCUAGCCUCAAGUGAUGAUUAUUGGAGGUAGAGCACUGUUUGGACGAGGGGCCCCUCUCGGGUUACCGAAUUCAGACAAACUCCGAAUGCCAAUUAAUUUAACUUGGGAGUCAGAACAUGGGUGAUAAGGUCCGUGUUCGAAAGGGAAACAGCCCAGACCACCAGCUAAGGUCCCAAAAUAUAUGUUAAGUGGAAAAGGAUGUGGCGUUGCCCAGACAACUAGGAUGUUGGCUUAGAAGCAGCCAUCAUUUAAAGAGUGCGUAAUAGCUCACUAGUCGAGUGACACUGCGCCGAAAAUGUACCGGGGCUAAACAUAUUACCGAAGCUGUGGAUUGUCCUUUGGACAAUGGUAGGAGAGCGUUCUAAGGGCGUUGAAGCAUGAUCGUAAGGACAUGUGGAGCGCUUAGAAGUGAGAAUGCCGGUGUGAGUAGCGAAAGACGGGUGAGAAUCCCGUCCACCGAUUGACUAAGGUUUCCAGAGGAAGGCUCGUCCGCUCUGGGUUAGUCGGGUCCUAAGCUGAGGCCGACAGGCGUAGGCGAUGGAUAACAGGUUGAUAUUCCUGUACCACCUAUAAUCGUUUUAAUCGAUGGGGGGACGCAGUAGGAUAGGCGAAGCGUGCGAUUGGAUUGCACGUCUAAGCAGUAAGGCUGAGUAUUAGGCAAAUCCGGUACUCGUUAAGGCUGAGCUGUGAUGGGGAGAAGACAUUGAGUCUUCGAGUCGUUGAUUUCACACUGCCGAGAAAAGCCUCUAGAUAGAAAAUAGGUGCCCGUACCGCAAACCGACACAGGUAGUCAAGAUGAGAAUUCUAAGGUGAGCGAGCGAACUCUCGUUAAGG
rnacentral:rRNA from 1 species